rnacentral:rRNA from 1 species
GAUGAACGCUGGCGGCGUGCCUAAUACAUGCAAGUCGAGCGAACGGACGAGAAGCUUGCUUCUCUGAUGUUAGCGGCGGACGGGUGAGUAACACGUGGAUAACCUACCUAUAAGACUGGGAUAACUUCGGGAAACCGUAGCUAAUACCGGAUAAUAUUUUGAACCGCAUGGUUCAAAAGUGAAAGACGGUCUUGCUGUCACUUAUAGAUGGAUCCGCGCUGCAUUAGCUAGUUGGUAAGGUAACGGCUUACCAAGGCAACGAUGCAUAGCCGACCUGAGAGGGUGAUCGGCCACACUGGAACUGAGACACGGUCCAGACGCCGACGGGAGGCAGAAGUAGGGAAUAUUCCGCAAUGGGCGAAAGCCUGACGGAGCAACGACGCGUGAGUGAUGAAGGUCUUCGGAUCGUAAAACUCUGUUAUUAGGGAAGAACAUAUGUGUAAGUAACUGUGCACAUCGUGAGGGUACGUAAUCAGAAAGCCAGGGCUAAGUACGUG